rnacentral:rRNA from 1 species
GAUGAACGCUGGCGGCGUGCCUAAUACAUGCAAGUCGAGCGAACAGACGAGGAGCUUGCUCCUCUGACGUUAGCGGCGGACGGGUGAGUAACACGUGGAUAACCUACCUAUAAGACUGGGAUAACUUCGGGAAACCGGAGCUAAUACCGGAUAAUAUAUUGAACCGCAUGGUUCAAUAGUGAAAGACGGUUUUGCUGUCACUUAUAGAUGGAUCCGCGCCGCAUUAACUAGUUGGUAAGGUAACGGCUUACCAAGGCAACGAUGCGUAGCCGACGUGAGAGGGUGUACCGCCACCCAGGAACUGAGCCACGACCCAGGCUCCUACGGGAGGCAGCAGUUGGGAAGGUUCCGAAAAGGGCGAAAGCCUGAAGGAGCAACGCCGCGUGAGUGAAGAAGGUCUUCGGAUCGUAAAACUCUGUUAUUAGGGAAGAACAAAUGUGUAAGUAACUAUGCACGUCUUGACGGUACCUAAUCAGAAAGCCACGGCUAACUACGU